AUGCUGUGGGCUCUGGCCCUGCUCCUGGCUUUCCUGGCUCCCGCCAGUCAGACAUCUUCCAACUCAGAAGGGAGAAAGAUAUCCCUAACCAAGCAGACUGGGUCUUUUGCUGAAAUCACCUGUGAUCUCCUAUCCAAAACCAUCACCUACAUGCACCUACAUGUACCGACACCAGGAGGGAAAAGCCCCACACCGCCUUCUCUACUUGGAGUUCUCUGGCUAAAGUUUGUGGUAGAUUCUGGAGUCAGUUUAGAAAAGUACCAUGCUUAUGAAUGGGCAGAUGGGAGCUGCAAAGUAGUUGUCUGA